AGGGUUUGAUCAUGGCUCAGAUUGAACGCUGGCGGCAGGCCUAACACAUGCAAGUCGAGCGGUAGAGAGGUGCUUGCACCUCUUGAGAGCGGCGGACGGGUGAGUAAUGCCUAGGAAUCUGCCUGGUAGUGGGGGAUAACGCUCGGAAACGGACGCUAAUACCGCAUACGUCCUACGGGAGAAAGCAGGGGACCUUCGGGCCUUGCGCUAUCAGAUGAGCCUAGGUCGGAUUAGCUAGUUGGUGAGGUAAUGGCUCACCAAGGCGACGAUCCGUAACUGGUCUGAGAGGAUGAUCAGUCACACUGGAACUGAGACACGGUCCAGACUCCUACGGGAGGCAGCAGUGGGGAAUAUUGGACAAUGGGCGAAAGCCUGAUCCAGCCAUGCCGCGUGUGUGAAGAAGGUCUUCGGAUUGUAAAGCACUUUAAGUUGGGAGGAAGGGCAUUAACCUAAUACGUUAGUGUUUUGACGUUACCGACAGAAUAAGCACCGGCUAACUCUGUGCCAGCAGCCGCGGUAAUACAGAGGGUGCAAGCGUUAAUCGGAAUUACUGGGCGUAAAGCGCGCGUAGGUGGUUCGUUAAGUUGGAUGUGAAAUCCCCGGGCUCAACCUGGGAACUGCAUUCAAAACUGUCGAGCUAGAGUAUGGUAGAGGGUGGUGGAAUUUCCUGUGUAGCGGUGAAAUGCGUAGAUAUAGGAAGGAACACCAGUGGCGAAGGCGACCACCUGGACUGAUACUGACACUGAGGUGCGAAAGCGUGGGGAGCAAACAGGAUUAGAUACCCUGGUAGUCCACGCCGUAAACGAUGUCAACUAGCCGUUGGGAGCCUUGAGCUCUUAGUGGCGCAGCUAACGCAUUAAGUUGACCGCCUGGGGAGUACGGCCGCAAGGUUAAAACUCAAAUGAAUUGACGGGGGCCCGCACAAGCGGUGGAGCAUGUGGUUUAAUUC
rnacentral:rRNA from 1 species